ACGGGCCCGGAGGGGCACGGCGGUCGCGGCUCGGGUUGCUGCAAGGGGAGAGGGGGAAGCGCAGGACCAGCUCCCAAGCCAGGUUGGAUUUUGGGGGAGCACCCGGCUCCCGGAGAGAUCCUCCCAGCAGCCCUGCAGCGACACGCUCGGGUGGCAUUUCGAGCUCUGCUGCGUAACAUCGUGCGCUAAGCCCUGUAAAUAGAAGAUCUCUGAUGACAGAAAGCUUACCUAGUUCUAAAUACUUGGGCUCUGGACAACAGGGGCCCCCAGUGCUGAGCAGCCAGAAACCGCUACAGCUGAUCAAAUGCUCUAUAUUUAGAUGAUGACUAAACUGAAUCAUUAAGUGACUGGGACCCUAAAACCAUAUAAACACCUCUCAAAACUUCACCGUUGCUUGUAAAGGAAAGGAACGGGGCAGGAAAUGUAACAAACCUUAACAUCAGUAAGUUUAAGGUUAAGACACUGAAAAUACACUAAUUCUGGAAUGUAGUUUAUUGCUAGUGAGGACAGUUCAAAGCCAACUUCACAUGAAUAACUAACUGCCUUCAGGUUCAGUGUAAGUCACAAGCUUUCAAACCGCUUGGAUGCUUUCAGCAGCUCUGUAGUUACUCGGUCUUAGGAAGUUCAAAGUUAUGUAAGACACAACUGGUUGCGGAAAGAUUAGUUCAAUGGACAAAAUAAAAGUGCUUAAACAACUUCUCCUGGGAAAUCUUACUGACAGAGGGACUUCCGAGUUACAAACAUGAAAAAGACCUGCUCAAGGAGAAGCACCUGCUUUUAUUUAUGAGUUCGUUUGAGAAGUUGUUGUUGCCUUUUAUAUUCAUUUGCACUAGCCCCACACAGGCAUAUCUGGGCAAAGGGUAUGUGAGCGCAUAUGCAAUACUUCUGUUCAGAAGAGUCAUGUUUACAAAUCUUCAGUGAAAACCCCACAACAACAUUAUUAAGGAAAAGUCGGUAUUUGGAAGGUGAAUCACUAGAAACCAAAAGCUGAAAAUAGCUUUCAGAAUCUUUGCUCAAACGUUUUGUCAUUUUACACAACAUUUCCAUUGACCUCUACAGCAGGUGAAAUGCUGCAGUUUGACUUCAGUAUGUUGACCUUUCUCAGAGAGCUUGGCAAAAGCCCAAGAACAGUUCUACUGGUUCAGCAGAAGUUCAGAGAAGUGAGCAUCCUGUUUGUGAUGACGGCCAUCAGGGGAUGCAUACCUAGGAAAAAGUUAUAAAAGCAUAGCAAGAUGCUAAUAUUUCCCUGGAACAUUCUUUUACUCUGAUUCGCAAUCUUGGGGAUAUCCCGAGAAAGAAUCUUUUUCCUAAGUUGCAAGUUGCUUUUUCAACAGCGAUGAACUUCAACAUCCACAAAGAUCAUGCAGCAAGGAGUUCCACCACUUAUUUAAGCUUGUGUAAGGGAAGGCACAGCCCUCUCAACAUUCAUGUGUUUCAUUUAGUAUAAGAGAUGGUGAAAAAUUAUUCCAUACUCAGCACAAUUGCUGCUUAUCAUUUUAUCAAAAUACUUUAGCCACCUGAGCAAACUGUCUUUUCCAAAACGAAGAUUCCUGCUCCAGUGCAUUGUUCUUCACAUGAGAGCACUUUUGUACCUUUUAUCUUUGUUGUUCUCCCUAUCCUUUUCCAAUUUUAUAAUCUUCUCUGUUUUGUAGUGCUGAAGCAGGGACAGGCUGCAAUAGGGGGAACAAAACUGUUCAAUAAAAUAGCAUUUGAUAUUA